UCCUUGUUUAAUGAAAGUGAAACGAGAUCAAAAUAUUUAUUUAAACAUAGAAGGGACGCAGAUUAUAUAUAAUAUGCUCUAGUCAAACAAGGGUUAAGUUUCUCCGAGGGUUGAUGAGCUCUGACUAGAGCCUAUUGUUUUACUCCACUCCUCUCAUGUCAGCCAAUCGGUGAAGCUCUAGGCAGCUCUUGUCCCUCCUUAGUGCCAGCUCCCAAGUUUUCAGUCUCUUGCUUCUACAGCCGAACAGAGCAGGCAGACUAAAACUUUGUUAUCGAGGGCAGAACGAAACCGGAAGGUUUACUGAGCUGUGGCUUCACGUAAACGCUGAGCAUACACUCGAAGGCGGUCAGGUUUUUAUAUGGGACAAAUCCAAAGACCGGGUCAGUGAUUCCAGAACCCAGAGUGUUCCAGUGUUCACUGGAUGGCGAGCCAACCCAAGAUCCUAGGAGACGAUAUACAUACACACGCACACUCAUUUGCACAUUGAUGGACUACAAUCCUCUACUGUACAAGUAGUACGGUAGGACCGACAAUCACACACACACUCCUCAUUGGACGGACUCUAAUGCAAUACACCCGUUUGUCAUGGGCCCCACCGGUACCAUUUGGACUUAAAAAGACUAAUUCUUUUACUUGUGCGCAAUUUUAUUUUAUUCUAUUUUUUUUGCUACUUUGGGGGAAUUUUUUAUACUUGAAAUUCUGUUAAAACCUGUUGUAAUUCAGUGUUGGUUACAAAAUUCUUUAAAAGGCUUAACAUCACUAAAGUACUUUUAAGCCACACAACUGUAUUUUGUCUGGUUUCUGUGUCAUUCAUGUACCAGAGCUCUAAGAGUCGUUCUUAAUCUUCUGAUACUAGCCCAAAUUACUCAUUACCUUGGUAAUUAUCCAUUGGUACUGUAUAUAACUCCAUGUAAGUGCUGCAAAUGCCUGUAAAGGAUCACGUGGUUUCACAUUUAAAGGGACAAAAACAAUAUUUUCCUAAACUUAACCAAACACCUUUCCCAACAGGACGCUAACAGAGGUCUCCUUGUUGUGCCUAACGAGCUUUGUAGAUCUUUAAAACUGCACUGUUAGUCAGUAUUACUGAGCACUGCUGUUUAAGUCUUAAAUUCACAAACUUCCUUGAUCAAUGAGAAAAACCAUUCAGCUGUUUGCUUUUCAGCUCUCAUACCCCUUCCUGGCAUCCCUGAAUGAAUGGAUGCUAAGAGCGAUUAUCCGACUUAUGCAGCAGUGGGAAUUUUAUUGUGCAGAAACAGCCGGAAGAACAAGUGUAAAUAAUAAAAUG